UUGGGAAUAUUGCACAAUGGGCGCAAGCCUGAUGCAGCGACGCCGCGUGAGGGAUGACGGCCUUCGGGUUGUAAACCUCUUUCAGCAGGGAAGAAGCGAAAGUGACGGUACCUGCAGAAGAAGCACCGGCUAACUACGUGCCAGCAGCCGCGGUAAUACGUAGGGUGCAAGCGUUGUCCGGAAUUAUUGGGCGUAAAGAGCUCGUAGGCGGUUUGUCACGUCUGCUGUGAAAUCCCGAGGCUCAACCUCGGGCCUGCAGUGGGUACGGGCAGACUAGAGUGUGGUAGGGGAGACUGGAAUUCCUGGUGUAGCGGUGGAAUGCGCAGAUAUCAGGAGGAACACCGAUGGCGAAGGCAGGUCUCUGGGCCACUACUGACGCUGAGGAGCGAAAGCAUGGGGAGCGAACAGG
rnacentral:rRNA from 1 species